GACGAACGCUGGCGGCGUGCCUAAUACAUGCAAGUUGAGCGCUGAAGGUUGGUACUUGUACCAACUGGAUGAGCAGCGAACGGGUGAGUAACGCGUGGGGAAUCUGCCUUUGAGCGGGGGACAACAUUUGGAAACGAAUGCUAAUACCGCAUAAAAACUUUAAACACAAGUUUUAAGUUUGAAAGAUGCAAUUGCAUCACUCAAAGAUGAUCCCGCGUUGUAUUAGCUAGUUGGUGAGGUAAAGGCUCACCAAGGCGAUGAUACAUAGCCGACCUGAGAGGGUGAUCGGCCACAUUGGGACGGAGACACGGCCCAAACUCCUACGGGAGGCAGCAGUAGGGAAUCUUCGGCAAUGGACGAAAGUCUGACCGAGCAACGCCGCGGGAGGGAAGAAGGUUUUCGGAUCGUAAAACUCGGUUGGUAGAGAAGAACGUUGGUGAGAGUGGAAAGCUCAUCAAGUGACGGUAACUACCCAGAAAGGGACGGCUAACUACGUG
rnacentral:rRNA from 1 species